ACACACAUAUCGCUUUGGUGAAUAUUUUCGAAGUUACACGCAAAUUUAAAAACACUAAAAUCCCGCCGACUCCCUAUAUAACGAUUUCACUUAAGGAUACUAAAUUCGCGUUAAAUCAAUACAUGUAAAUAAAUACCCCAGAGACUUUAAAUUAUACACCUAGCAUGACACAAAAGGACUAUAUACAUAAAAGUCUGAAACAAAAUUGGACGAUGGGUGUGGCACCGGAAUAUUUCAAGACUUACUCGACCGACAUCGACCAAAUGUGGUACAUCUUAUUAUUCUAACCUUCCUAGUCGAGUGAAAAAACAAGCUAAAUCGGACCACCCUAAAUACCCAUAAAACACCAUUUCAAAAUUUCACUUGAUCCUUCCACUUUCCAGUGUGCAUAUCAAGCAUCAUUGAAUGUAUCGAGAUAAAUAAUUAAAAAGCUGUAAAGCAUUAAAAGCACGUAUAUCAUAACAAAAUGUGUACAUAUUUAGGCAUACCUAGUUAAUUAUAAUUGAAUUUCAACAAGUCAUUUAUGGUGACGAAAACUAUAAAUAGAAUUAUGCACCAGAUAUUUCAGUCAGUUGAAAGUGCAGAGCGAGGUACUACACAACUGAAAGCAUUAAAUUUCAAAAAGGAAUACGUACGACAUCUGAAUCGUCCGGGAUGUCAGUGUCUGACAGCGGCAUUGAGGACCCUAGCACACAGAAUGAACCGAAUUUCCAAGAUUUUGUUGAGCAAAUGGAAUUUCUAAGGCCACAUGUACUUAACGAAGUCCGAAAUGAACAAACUGAAAAUGAGGAAGCCAGGCCAACAAUUGUUUUUAUUUUUAUUUCUUUUAUUUUCUUCUUUUUGUUUUUUUUAAGUAUGAAUUUUGAUGCCCGAACUUUAUACAUUAAGAGAGAUUUCAAUAGAAGCUAAAUUAGCUACGAAUGAGUAACCUAACAAGUGAAUUGUAAAUACAUAUUUUGCCUUUUUCGAUUAAUAAAAUGUUGGCCGAUCCUUAA
rnacentral:lncRNA from 1 species